UGCUGCUGUUUACACUAUGUGGAAGCUGGACACUCAGCCUGUUUCGGGGGGACCCAGGCUAAAGGUUCUGCCCUAGGUGUGUAGAGACGGGGUUCCACCGUGUUAGCCAGGAUGGUCUCGAUCUCCUGACCUCGUCAUCCUCCCGCCUUGGCCUCCCAAAGUGCUGGGAUUACAGGCUUGAGCCACCGCGCCCCGCUCUUUCGUGUUCCAAAGGCUUUUUAAAUAAACUUCCACUCCUGUCCUGGAUUCUGCUUUAUGGCCCUCAGUCGAAUUCUUUCUUCUGAGGAGGCAAGGACUGAAGUUGCUUCUGACCAGUACAGGAGAAAACGAAUACAGCAGGGAUGACUUCCACCAGCUCCACUUUGCAGCUCUGAGGUGUAUUAAAAAUGACCUGGAAGAAGUCAUGCCACGGGCCAGACCUUAACAUUCCUUUCGGCUUACCCCAGGAUUUCAGACGAAGCUUCACUUUCCUAACCAGUCACAAAUCAGAGAAUUUUUGAUUCCACCUAUGACCUGUGAGCUCCUGCUUCAAGAUAUUCCACCUUUUUUAGGCCAAACCAAUGUAUAACCUCCAAGUGUCGAUUUACACUUUCGACUGUAACUUCUGCUUUCCUGAGAUUUACCCCUGCCUUUAAAAACCCUUGCUUGUAAUCCCUCAGGGAGGCCGUGUAUUUAUUAAUCAUGAGCUGCCCAAUUCUCCUUGCUUGGUGCCCUGCAAAUAAACACCCUCUUUUCUCCCACUGCAAAA
rnacentral:sRNA from 1 species